rnacentral:rRNA from 1 species
GGGCCCGCACAAGCGGUGGAGCAUGUGGUUUAAUUCGAAGCAACGCGCAGAACCUUACCCAGGCUUGACAUCCCGAGAACUUCGCAGAAACGCGUUGGUGCCCUCUCACGAGGGAGCUCGGUGACAGGUGCUGCAUGGCUGUCGUCAGCUCGUGCUGUGAGGUGUUCGGUUAAGUCCGGCAACGAGCGCAACCCCUGUCGCUAGUUACCAGCAUUCAGUUGGGGACUCUAGCGAGACUGCCGGUGAUAAACCGGAGGAAGGUGGGGACGACGUCAAGUCCUCAUGGCCCUUAUGUCUGGGGCUACACACGUGCUACAAUGGCGUCUACAAAGGGCAGCGAGACUGCAAAGUGGAGCAAAUCCCAAAAAAGACGCCUCAGUUCGGAUUGGAGUCUGCAACUCGACUCCAUGAAGGUGGAAUCGCUAGUAAUCGC